rnacentral:rRNA from 1 species
CCUACGGGUGGCAGCAGUGAGGAAUAUUGGUCAAUGGACGAGAGUCUGAACCAGCCUAGUAGCGUGAAGGAUGACUGCCCUAUGGGUUGUAAACUUCUUUUAUAUGGGAAUAAAACGUUCCACGUGUGGGAUUUUGUAUGUACCAUAUGAAUAAGGAUCGGCUAACUCCGUGCCAGCAGCCGCGGUAAUACGGAGGAUCCGAGCGUUAUCCGGAUUUAUUGGGUUUAAAGGGAGCGUAGGUGGAUUGUUAAGUCAGUUGUGAAAGUUUGCGGCUCAACCGUAAAAUUGCAGUUGAAACUGGCAGUCUUGAGUACAGUAGAGGUGGGCGGAAUUCGUGGUGUAGCGGUGAAAUGCUUAGAUAUCACGAAGAACUCCGAUUGCGAAGGCAGUUCACUGGACUGCAACUGACACUGAGGCUCGAAAGUGUGGGUAUCAAACAGGAUUAGAUACCCUAGUAGUC